rnacentral:rRNA from 1 species
UACGUAGGUGGCAAGCGUUGUCCGGAUUUAUUGGGUCUAAAGGGUGCGUAGGCGGCUUUGUAAGUCAGUGGUGAAAUAUGGCAGCUCAACUGUCAAGGUGCCAUUGAUACUGCGGAGCUUGAGUACAGAUGAGGUAGGCGGAAUUGACGGUGUAGCGGUGAAAUGCUUAGAUAUCGUCAAGAACACCUAUAGCGAAGGCAGCUUACUAGGCUGUAACUGACGCUGAGGCACGAAAGUGUGGGGAUCAAACAGG